rnacentral:rRNA from 1 species
GACGUAGGAUGCAAGCGUUAUCCGGAUUCAUUGGGUUUAAAGGGAGCGUAGGUGGCCUUGUAAGUCAGUGGUGAAAUCCUGUCGCUUAACGAUAGAAUUGCCAUUGAUACUGCAGGGCUUGAGUACAGUUGCCGUUGGCGGAAUAUGACAUGUAGUGGUGAAAUACUUAGAUAUGUCAUAGAACACCGAUUGCGAAGGCAGCUGACGAAACUGUAACUGACACUGAGGCUCGAAAGUGUGGGGAUCAAACAGG